GAUGAACGCUGGCGGCGUGCCUAAUACAUGCAAGUCGAGCGAACAGACGAGGAGCUUGCUCCUCUGACGUUAGCUGCGGACGGGUGAGUAACACGUGGAUAACCUACCUAUAAGACUGGGAUAACUUCGGGAAACCGGAGCUAAUACCGGAUAAUAUAUUGAACCGCAUGGUUCAAUAGUGAAAGACGGUUUUGCUGUCACUUAUAGAUGGAUCCCCGCCGCAUUAGCUAGUUGGUAAGGUAACGGCUUACCAAGGCAACGAUGCGUAGCCGACCUGAGAGGGUGAUCGGCCACACUGGAACUGAGACACGGUCCAGACUCCUACGGGAGGCAGCAGUAGGGAAUCUUCCGCAAAGGGCGAAAGCCUGACGGAGCAACGCCGCGUGAGUGAUGAAGGUCUUCGGAUCGUAAAACUCUGUUAUUAGGGAAGAACAAAUGUGUAAGUAACUAUGCACGUCUUGACGGUACCUAAUCAGAAAGCCACGGCUAACUACGUG
rnacentral:rRNA from 1 species